UACGGAGGGUGCAAGCGUUAUCCGGAUUCACUGGGUUUAAAGGGUGUGUAGGCGGGUAUAUAAGUCAGGGGUGAAAUCUCCGGGCUCAACCCGGAAACUGCCAUUGAUACUAUGUGUCUUGAAUUUUGUUGAGGAGGGCGGAAUAUGUCAUGUAGCGGUGAAAUGCUUAGAUAUGACAUAGAACACCGAUUGCGAAGGCAGCUCUCUAAGCAAACAUUGACGCUGAGGCACGAAAGCGUGGGGAUCAAACAGG
rnacentral:rRNA from 1 species